rnacentral:rRNA from 1 species
UGGGGAAUAUUGCACAAUGGGCGCAAGCCUGAUGCAGCCAUGCCGCGUGUAUGAAGAAGGCCUUCGGGUUGUAAAGUACUUUCAGCGAGGAGGAAGGCGAUAAGGUUAAUAACCUUGUCGAUUGACGUUACUCGCAGAAGAAGCACCGGCUAACUCCGUGCCAGCAGCCGCGGUAAUACGGAGGGUGCAAGCGUUAAUCGGAAUUACUGGGCGUAAAGCGCACGCAGGCGGUCUGUCAAGUCGGAUGUGAAAUCCCCCGGGCUCAACCUGGGAACUGCAUCCGAAACUGGCAGGCUAGAGUCUUGUAGA